CCUACGAGUGGCAGCAGUGAGGAAUAUUGGUCAAUGGGCGCGAGCCUGAACCAGCCAAGUAGCGUGAAGGAUGACUGCCCUACGGGUUGUAAACUUCUUUUAUAAGUGAAUAAAGUGAGUCACGUGUGCCUUUUUGUAUGUACUUUAUGAAUAAGGAUCGGCUAACUCCGUGCCAGCAGCCGCGGUAAUACGGAGGAUCCGAGCGUUAGCCGGAUUUAUUGGGUUUAAAGGGAUCGUAGGUGGGUUGUUAAGUCAGGUGUGAAAGUUUGCGGCUCAACCGUAAAAUUGCAAUUGAUACUGGCAGUCUUGAGUACAGUUGAGGUAGGCGGAAUGCGUGGUGUAGCGGUGAAAUGCAUAGAUAGCACGAAGAACUCCGAUUGCGAAGGCAGCUUACUAAACUGCCACUGACAUUGAUGCUCGAAAGUGUGGGUAUCAAACAGGAUUAGAUACCCGGGUAGUC
rnacentral:rRNA from 1 species